GCCCGGAUGGUGAAAUCGGUAGACACGCUAGUUUCAGGGACUAGUGGACGUAAGUCUGUGCAAGUUCGAGUCUUGUUCCGGGCA
rnacentral:tRNA from 1 species